GCUUGAAAAAAAUUGUGCCGCUACAAUGACUUUUAAUAUGGCGAUUUGCGCCUCCGCCAUUGCCAUCGGGGGUCUGUGGGGAAAUAACUCCGCUAUGUAGGAUUCUGAGGCCGCCCGAUCUGGGGGCGGAUGUACUUCGACCUGCUUUCUGGCAGUGAUUACGCAAUGUCAUAUAGUGCCAGUCCACGCUCGCAGCUACAGUAUAAACGAGAAGCCAGCGAAGUCUCAUCAGUAUUCAUCAUGGAGAACGCACCAAAGAAACAGAAGAAGACAAUGUCUGAUGAGCAAAGAAGAGAAAAGAGAGGCCCGACAGAGCAGAGAUCGGACUAGGGUCACAAUCGGAACAGCUUUUACUUGUUGGAGAGAGCUGAAGACACCAUUUGGAUACAAGUUCGAUUCACAGCUAGCCAUCUUUCUGCUGGAUUACGGUAGGGAAUGUCUACUCCCAGCAAGGGACAUGCACAGCCACCACCGCCGCCUGUAUCUAGUAUUUCAGAAGAGUCCGACCGAGAUGGGGACAAAUAAUUCGCUAUGCAAGGUGUUCAACCGUUGGGCAAAGAAACCGAA